rnacentral:rRNA from 1 species
CCUACGGGAGGCAGCAGUGGGGAAUAUUGCACAAUGGGGGAAACCCUGAUGCAGCGACGCCGCGUGAGUGAAGAAGUAUUUCGGUAUGUAAAGCUCUAUCAGCAGGGAAGAAGAAAGACGGUACCUGACUCAGAAGCCCCGGCUAACUACGUGCCAGCAGCCGCGGUAAUACGGAGGGGGCAAGCGUUAUCCGGAUUUACUGGGUGUAAAGGGAGCGUAGACGGCUGUGCAAGUCUGAAGUGAAAGCCCAGGGCUCAACCCUGGGACUGCUUUGGAAACUGUGGAGCUAGAGUGCUGGAGAGGUAAGUGGAAUGCCUGGUGUAGCGGUGAAAUGCGUAGAUAUUAGGAGGAACACCAGUGGCGAAGGCGGCUUACUGGACAGUAACUGACGUUGAGGCUCGAAAGCGUGGGGAGCAAACAGGAUUAGAUACCCGGGUAGUC